ACUCGCAGUCCGCAGGAUGACUCAGGGCAGCCCUGACCACAGUUCCGCCGCCAUCGGCCCUAGCCUGCGGAAUUGGGCUCGCCCCGGGACGAUAACAGAGCUCUGCCGGGGGCUGGAGGCACUGACCGGGUGACCAGAGACCCAGAGACCAGACCCCCUCCACGGCGCCCGGGAUUUCGGGGACGGCUUCUCCCAUCGCAAGUUUCAACAGAAAAUGAGAAAUAUCCCCCGACGAUUGGCUGAAAACAUGCAGCAACCACUAUUUUCUUCCUGCCCCUCGUUGAUGAGAGCAUUCGAAGUGACCUCAGCAGGGCAUCCAGGUCAGUUUCUGGAAGACUUGUGUGUGUGAUGAAUGAAUAUCUGGUUUUGUCUCUGCUGGGCCUGUGUGCCUGGAAAGGAAUUGUUUUGGCCUAGGAUCAUCCAGUUUCGCUCUUGUGGCCCAGGCUGGAGUGCGGUGGUGUGACCUCGGCUCACUGCAUCCUCCGCCUCCCGGGUUCAAGUGAUGGGAUUACAGGUGCCUGCCACAACGCCCAGCUAAUUGUUUGUAUUUUUAGUAGAGACGAGGUUUCACCAUGUUGGCCAGGCUGGUCUCGAACUCCUGACCUCAGGUGAUCCACCUGCCUUGGCCUCCCAAAGUGCUGGGAUUACAGGUAUGAGCUACCGCGCCCGGCACAAAGCAUUUUCAGCUGUGAAAUUCCCUGGGGUGCUGCAGUAGAGGAAGGUUUGGGGUCUUGACGGGUGCUAUUUGCCACGGAAAGAUGCCUUCCUGCUCCCAGGGCAGGAGAGCCGAGGUAAGACUUACUGUAGGCUGUCGUUUUUUUUGUUUGUUUUUUGUCUUUGCGAUGGAGUCUCACUCUGUCGCCAGGCUGGAGUGCAGUGGCAUGAUCUUGGCUCACUGCAGAACCUCCACCUCCCAGGUUCAAGCGAUUCUCCUGCCUCAGCCUCCCAAGUAACUGGGAUUACAGGCACAUGCCCCCACAACCAGCUAAUUUUUUAUUUUUAGUAGAGACAGGGUUUCACAUGUUGGCCAGGCUGGUCUUGAACUCCUGACCUCAGGUGAUCCGCCCGCCUCGGCCUCCCAAAGUGCUGGGAUUACAGACAUGAGCCACUGCGCCCAGCCAGGCUGUUGUUUUUUUACCUCCUUGUUUGCACAAUUUGGGCCACUCACAAGAGUGUAUACCCUGUGAUAAACAGUUACCUACAUUCUCCUCUGCAUGCUUGUCUUUAGAGGAAGGAAAUGUAUUAAUUGCCCAAAGUAAUAUAUUGUGUUAAGAUGUGAUAUAUACUGGGGAAAAAAAAAGUGUAUAUUGACAUUUCUGGAAUAAACCACUUUGAUUC
rnacentral:lncRNA from 10 species